rnacentral:rRNA from 1 species
UACGGAGGAUGCAAGCGUUAUCCGGAAUGAUUGGGCGUAAAGCGUCCGCAGGUGGCUGUGUAAGUCUGCUGUCAAAGAGCGAAGCUCAACUUCGUAAAGGCAGUGGAAACUACACGGCUAGAGUGCGUUCGGGGCAGAGGGAAUUCCUGGUGUAGCGGUGAAAUGCGUAGAUAUCGGAAGGAACGCCGGUGGCGAAAGCGCUCUGCUAGGCCGCAACUGACACUGAGGGACGAAAGCUAGGGGAGCGAAUGGG